AGACCAACCUAGAAACUCCAGCGCUCUCCAAGUCGGUUCUGAUUCCUCCACCCGCGAAGAACUCGGUCCGGUGACUCUUGGGUCUUCCUCGGUUCGUUUCCGAGUGCGGUUCUAUGCUUUGGGGCUUGCGGGGCUGAAUCGAUCAAGUUAAAUUUGUCAAGGUGUUAGCUCGUCAUCUUUGGCUUUGAGCGAAUUGUUAUCACGUGUGGAUAGGGAGAGCAGAGGAAGGAUUGGUCUAGCUAGCGUGGUGUUCCUCAUUAGAAGCAGACUAGUAUGAAGGGAUUCCGCCUUGAACUAUAUUAAUCCGAAGUCGAUCAAGAGAGGAAUUGGACAAAGGGAGAUUGAAGGAGGAAUCUAUUCUAGCUACUGCUAAGGUGCUCCUCAUCCAGAUACAAAGCUGCUAUUGAGUUUUUAUUUUUGAGCAGAAGCUAGAACGUGCUAAAUAGUUCUAAAUUGGUGACUGGUGGAGAAGAUGAGGAAUGGAAGAACUCUCUGUACGUUGCUGUGAGGAAAGUAAAGGCUGUCAUUGGCUGUUUUCAGUUUAAGACAUUAGGGACUCCAGUUACCCGAGGAGCGGAAGGCUCGUCGUUUUGGGAGUUCACGAGAAAAGCCUCGAAAUCCAGUGAGAGGGGCAUAGUGACUUCCUUGGGCUUCGAUUUCCUAAACCUCCGGAGGGAUUGUAUGGACUGAGGAGUGUCUAACAUGCUUUGAGGUGUGGCACUUUCUCUAGGCGAUAUGGCGUAAGUGGACACUCUCGCUACACUUACCUGUUGUACACAUAUAUAGUGAGGUAAGUUGGAUAGUGGGUCCAGAAGAAGACCGGCCAUGAGGUAUUGUGCACUGGGACGGGAUAGUGGCGAGGAGCUGGGUGUGCAUGUUUAUGAUCGGUAUCUUGUUUUGAUGCUUACCUUAUACUUUAAUACUUGAGUUUCUUGUUCCAAAAUUUUAUUAUGUUGGCCUUGUUGUAUUCUCAUUCGUAAUUCUAUUUCUUGAAGUUCGUUAAUAUUUGGUAAUUUCUUAAAUUAAGUUUGA